rnacentral:tRNA from 2 species
CGCUACGGACUUAAAAUCCGUCGACUUUCAAAAUCGUGAGGGUUCAAGUCCCUCUAUCCCCA